rnacentral:rRNA from 1 species
GUGGGGAAUAUUGGACAAUGGGGGCAACCCUGAUCCAGCCAUGCCGCGUGAGUGAAGAAGGCCCUAGGGUUGUAAAACUCUUUCGGCGGGGAAGAUGAUGACGGUACCCGCAGAAGAAGCCCCGGCUAACUCCGUGCCAGCAGCCGCGGUAAUACGGAGGGGGCAAGCGUUGCUCGGAAUUACUGGGCGUAAAGAGCACGUAGGCGGAUUGACAAGUCAGGCGUGAAAGCCCCGGGCUCAACCUGGGAACUGCGUUUGAAACUGUCGGUCUUGAGUUCGGGAGAGGGUAGUGGAAUUCCCAGUGUAGAGGUGAAAUUCGUAGAUAUUGGGAAGAACACCAGUGGCGAAGGCGGCUACCUGGACCGAUACUGACGCUGAGGUGCGAAAGCGUGGGGAGCAAACAGG